rnacentral:rRNA from 1 species
UAGUCCACGCCGUAAACGAUGAGAACUAGUUGUCGGGAGGGUUUAGCCUCUCGGUGACGCAGCUAACGCGUUAAGUUCUCCGCCUGGGGAGUACGGUGGCAACACUAAAACUCAAAGGAAUUGACGGGGACCCGCACAAGCGGUGGAGCAUGUGGUUUAAUUCGAUGCAACGCGAAGAACCUUACCUGAGCUUGACAUGUCACAAAUUUUUGCGAGAGCAAAAAGUGCCUUCGGGAAUGUGAACACAGGUGGUGCAUGGCUGUCGUCAGCUCGUGUUGUGAGAUGUUGGGUUAAGUCCCGCAACGAGCGCAACCCUUGUCUUUAGUUGCCAUCAUUAAGUUGGGCACUUUAAAGNGACUGCCGGUGACAAACCGGNGGAAGGUAAGGAUGACGUCAAGUCAGCAUGCCCCUUAUGCUCUGGGCUACACACGUGCUACAAUGGCUGUGACAAAGAGUUGCUACUUUGUGUAAAACAAGCUAAUCUCAUAAACGCGGACCUCAGUUCGGAUUG